GACGCACACCUGCACCUGGAGCUGUGUAAGAAGAGCAAACUGAUGGGGCAGAUACACAGCAGGAGAUCGUGGCCUGGCGACUGUUUUAUGGGCUCUCCAAGAAGUCAUUUAGUUAUUUCUCACUCCCGCCAUCCAGGAGAGCAGGGCUGAAUUCACCACCUUGGGAUCAGCUGGAGGAGAGCUCAGCAGCAGCAAAAGAUGCCUUCCCCAGAGCUUGAGGGUGCACAACAGAAGAGUUGGUCUCCUCAACAGCUGAUGCUGCUUCUCGGGCAUCCUAUAUCCAACGCUGCACCCUAUGUAUCCCAUAGCCAACGUCGUCCCAUCAGCAUCCCAUACGGAGCUCCGGCAGACGCCGGCAAUGGGCCGCUCUGGCAGCGCCCUCUGGAGGGCACAGAGCGCACUGCAGCGGAAUCUUCCUGGAUCAAGAACUGGAAGCAGCUGGUGAGGUUCUGCUGAGCUCUGCACAGGUCUCUGCCAAACACAUACCUUCUCUCUUCCCUUGAGGGAUCCAGAUGUUCAGAUAGAGGCAGUCCUCCUUCCCACGGACAUCAGUUUGGGAUUGGUGCACACUUUCUUCCAGGCCU